rnacentral:rRNA from 1 species
AUGGCACCGAUUUGCCGCAUGGUGUGCUACAACUACACUCCAGGGGAAUAUUUGUUCAGAAUCUUCAGUCUUGUAAUUUUCUCCUUGAUGACAAUGACCAUGCCGUGCUGGGGAUUUGGGAUUCCAUCCUUGCUGUUUGGACUUCCGCUGCCAAAUCCAGAUCUUAUCCAAAGACUUGGGACUCCAAAUUACAUGCCCCAGAACAUUGGCGACCAAACAUCAGAGGCCCAAUUAGUUACGAGACUGACUCGUUGGGGUUUCGCUUGUAGCAUUCUUGAGAUGUUCAGUGGCGUUCAGACUUGGUGUGCCAAAUCACCAGAUGAGAUUUAUCAGUCAGUUGUCCUGAAGAAAGAGAAACCGAUGUUCCUGUAUAAUUUACCUACGGAGGUCGCUAAUGUCCUCUCUGGCUGCUAUGAGUAUGACUUUCAGGAUCACUCCUUGAUGUUAGAUAUCUUACAGUCAUUUGAAAGGUUGGAGGUGACACAUGAACGUUGGCAAUGCAAAAUAGCAUAUAUAAAAUAA